UACGAAGGGGGGCUAGCGUUGCUCGGAAUUACUGGGCGUAAAGGGAGCGUUAGGCGGACAUUUAAGUCAGGGGGUGAAAUCCCAGAGCUCAACUCUGGAACUGCCUUUGAUACUGGAUGUCUUGAGUGUGAGAGAGGUAUGUGGAACUCCGAGUGUAGAGGUGAAAUUCGUAGAUAUUCGGAAGAACACCAGUGGCGAAGGCGACAUACUGGCUCAUUACUGACGCUGAGGCUCGAAAGCGUGGGGAGCAAACAGG
rnacentral:rRNA from 1 species